GAUGAAGAACGUAGCGAAAUGCGAUACGUAAUGUGAAUUGCAGAAUUCAGUGAAUCAUCGAAUCUUUGAACGCAUAUUGCGCUCUUUGGUAUUCCGAAGAGCAUGCUUGUUUGAGUAUCAGUAAACACCUCAAAGCUUUUGGAUUUUUUAAUCGAAAAGCUUUGGACUUGAGCAAUCCCAACACCAAUCUUUUUGAGAUCGGUGGCGGGUUGCUUGAAAUGCAGGUGCAGCUGGACAUUCUCCUGAGCUAAAAGCAUAUUCAUUUAGUCCCGUCAAACGGAUUAUUACUUUUGCUGCAGCUAACAUAAAGGGAGUUUGACCGUAUUGGCUGACUGAUGCAGGAUUUCACAUGGGUCGGCAACGAUUCUUGUUAAACUCGAUCUCAAAUCAAGUAAGACUACCCGCUGAACUUAAGCAUAUCAAUAAGCGGAGGA
rnacentral:misc_RNA from 1 species